AUGAACGCUAGCUACAGGCUUAACACAUGCAAGUCGAGGGGCAGCAUCAUCAAAGCUUGCUUUGAUGGAUGGCGACCGGCGCACGGGUGAGUAACACGUAUCCAACCUGCCGACAACACUGGGAUAGCCUUUCGAAAGAAAGAUUAAUACCGGAUGGCAUAAUUAUUCCGCAUGGGAUAAUUAUUAAAGAAUUUCGGUUGUCGAUGGGGAUGCGUUCCAUUAGGCAGUUGGCGGGGUAACGGCCCACCAAACCAACGAUGGAUAGGGGUUCUGAGAGGAAGGUCCCCCACAUUGGAACUGAGACACGGUCCAAACUCCUACGGGAGGCAGCAGUGAGGAAUAUUGGUCAAUGGACGAGAGUCUGAACCAGCCAAGUAGCGUGAAGGAUGACUGCCCUAUGGGUUGUAAACUUCUUUUAUACGGGAAUAAAGUUAGCCACGUGUGGCUUUUUGUAUGUACCGUAUGAAUAAGGAUCGGCUAACUCCGUGCCAGCAGCCGCGGUAAUACGGAGGAUCCGAGCGUUAUCCGGAUUUAUUGGGUUUAAAGGGAGCGUAGGCGGGUUGUUAAGUCAGUUGUGAAAGUUUGCGGCUCAACCGUAAAAUUGCAGUUGAUACUGGCGACCUUGAGUGCAACAGAGGUAGGCGGAAUUCGUGGUGUAGCGGUGAAAUGCUUAGAUAUCACGAAGAACUCCGAUUGCGAAGGCAGCUUACUGGAUUGUAACUGACGCUGAUGCUCGAAAGUGUGGGUAUCAAACAGGAUUAGAUACCCUGGUAGUCCACACAGUAAACGAUGAAUACUCGCUGUUGGCGAUAUACGGUCAGCGGCCAAGCGAAAGCAUUAAGUAUUCCACCUGGGGAGUACGCCGGCAACGGUGAAACUCAAAGGAAUUGACGGGGGCCCGCACAAGCGGAGGAACAUGUGGUUUAAUUCGAUGAUACGCGAGGAACCUUACCCGGGCUCAAACGGCAGAGGAAAGUUUUUGAAAGGAGGCUGCUCUACGGAGUCUCUGCCGAGGUGCUGCAUGGUUGUCGUCAGCUCGUGCCGUGAGGUGUCGGCUUAAGUGCCAUAACGAGCGCAACCCUUACGGGUAGUUACCAUCAGGUUAUGCUGGGGACUCUACCCGGACUGCCGUCGUAAGAUGUGAGGAAGGUGGGGAUGACGUCAAAUCAGCACGGCCCUUACGUCCGGGGCUACACACGUGUUACAAUGGGGGGUACAGAAGGCAGCUACACGGCGACGUGGUGCUAAUCCCAAAAGCCUCUCUCAGUUCGGAUUGGAGUCUGCAACCCGACUCCAUGAAGCUGGAUUCGCUAGUAAUCGCGCAUCAGCCACGGCGCGGUGAAUACGUUCCCGGGCCUUGUACACACCGCCCGUCAAGCCAUGAAAGCCGGGGGUACCUGAAGUACGUAACCGCGAGGAGCGUCCUAGGGUAAAACUGGUGAUUGGGGCU
rnacentral:rRNA from 1 species